CGAACUUUACAAUGUCAGACAUUUCAAAAUUAAUCUUUAGAAGAUUGUUCACAUCAUGGUUGGUCGUUAUACGCCAAAGAAUUAGUACUUUGAGCGCAGCUUCCAUUCAAUACGACGAAAGCAAGCGAUCCAUGGUAAAAAAGACAUUUAAAGGGCACAUAUUUAUCUUUCGUCUGACAGCACGUAUACACCGCAGUUAUCGUAAAUUAUAUAAACAUAUAAAAAAAAAAAAAAAAAAACAUUAUUUUUUUAAGACAAAACAGAGAAAAGAACUGAUAAGUGCGGGUAUUCCAUGCGCCUUGCCUCCUUUAUGUUUCGAUAUUUUAGAAAUUAAUUAUUCUUUUAUCUAUUAUAACACGUGAAAACUACACCAGUGAGUUCCAUAUAUGUCUUCAACUUACAGCUGGUCCUGAAAAUGCAUGAAAUAUUUGCCACUGGACUUUUAACAACCAACAAUCAAUCACACUACAACUUAAAGUAUAUAUAGUAGUGAAAUACAAAAUGAAUAUUAUAAUGAUACAAUUAGCAAAAUAAAUAGAAUACAAAUACACACUACUUUAUUU
rnacentral:lncRNA from 1 species